rnacentral:rRNA from 1 species
AAUCAACGCUGGCGGCGCGCUUAACACAUGCAAGUCGAACGAGAAAGUUCCCUUCGGGAGCGAGUAAAGUGGCGGACGGGUGAGUAACACGUUGGUAAUCUGCCCUUGAGUGGGGAAUAACUUUGGGAAACCGAAGCUAAUACCGCAUACGAUCCUUCGGGAUGAAAGCUUUAUGCGCUCAAGGAUGAGCCCGCGGUCGAUUAGCUAGUUGGUGGGGUAAUGGCUCACCAAGGCGACGAUCGAUAGCCGGCCUGAGAGGGCACACGGCCACACUGGCACUGAGACACGGGCCAGACUCCUACGGGGAGGCAGCAGUGGGGAAUCUUGGUCAAUGGGGAAAGCCUAGAACCAGCGACGCCGCGUGACCGACUGAAGGCCCGCUCGGGUCGUAAAGGUCUUUCGACGGGGACUAUUAUGAAGGUCCCGUAAAAGCAGGAGCGGCUAACUAUGUGCCAGCAGCCGCGGUAAUACAUAGGCUCCAAGCGUUGUUCGGAAUUACUGGGCGUAAAGCGAGUGUAGGCUGUCCGCCAAGUCGAUUGUGAAAUCUCCCGGCUUAACUGGGAGGGUGCGGUCGAAACUGGCGGACUAGAGUUCGGGAGAGGAGAGUGGAAUUCCUGGUGUAGCGGUGAAAUGCGUAGAUAUCAGGAGGAUCACCGGCGGUGAAGACGGCUCUCUGGACCGAUAC